rnacentral:piRNA from 1 species
UCGGUCGUUGUGCAUAAAGUU